GACGAACGCUGGCGGCGUGCUUAACACAUGCAAGUCGAGCGGAAAGGCUCUUCGGGGUACUCGAGCGGAGAACGGGUGAGUAAAACGUGAGUAACCUGCCCUAGACUUUGGGAUAACCCUCGGAAAAGGGGGCUAAUACCAUAUACUCUUUCUCAAUCGCAUGAUAUGGUUGGGAAAGAUGUUCGGUCUGGGUGGGACUCGCGGCAUAUCAGCUUGUUGGUGGGGUAAUGGCCUGCCAAGGAGCGGACGGGUAGCCGGCCUGAGAGGGCGACCGGCCACACGGUGGCGGAGACACGGCCCAGACUCCUACGAGAGGCAGCAGUGGGGAAUAUUGCACAACGGGCGGAAGCAUGAUGCAGCGACGCCGCGUGGGGGAGGACGGCCGUCGGGUGGUAAGCCUCUUUCGGCAGGGACGAAGCGUAAGUGACGGUACCAGCAGAAGAAGCGCCGGCCAACUACGU
rnacentral:rRNA from 1 species